rnacentral:rRNA from 1 species
CGCUGGCGGCAGGCCUAACACAUGCAAGUCGAGCGGUAGAGAGAAGCUUGCUUCUCUUGAGAGCGGCGGACGGGUGAGUAAUGCCUAGGAAUCUGCCUGGUAGUGGGGGAUAACGUUCGGAAACGGACGCUAAUACCGCAUACGUCCUACGGGAGAAAGCAGGGGACCUUCGGGCCUUGCGCUAUCAGAUGAGCCUAGGUCGGAUUAGCUAGUUGGUGAGGUAAUGGCUCACCAAGGCGACGAUCCGUAACUGGUCUGAGAGGAUGAUCAGUCACACUGGAACUGAGACACGGUCCAGACUCCUACGGGAGGCAGCAGUGGGGAAUAUUGGACAAUGGGCGAAAGCCUGAUCCAGCCAUGCCGCGUGUGUGAAGAAGGUCUUCGGAUUGUAAAGCACUUUAAGUUGGGAGGAAGGGUUGUAGAUUAAUACUCUGCAAUUUUGACGUUACCGACAGAAUAAGCACCGGCUAACUCUGCGCCAGCAGCCGCGGUAAUACAGAGGGUGCAAGCGUUAAUCGGAAUUACUGGGCGUAAAGCGCGCGUAGGUGGUUUGUUAAGUUGGAUGUGAAAUCCCCGGGCUCAACCUGGGAACUGCAUUCAAAACUGACUGACUAGAGUAUGGUAGAGGGUGGUGGAAUUUCCUGUGUAGCGGUGAAAUGCGUAGAUAUAGGAAGGAACACCAGUGGCGAAGGCGACCACCUGGACUAAUACUGACACUGAGGUGCGAAAGCG